rnacentral:ncRNA from 1 species
GUAUACAACUAGGGGAGCCCAUGUAGAUAUGUUCAUAUUUACAUGGCUGAGAAUACCAAACCCUCAUUACCAGAUCAAGAUAAUACUUGCGUUGGGAGUGUUGUUGCAACCAAUU